AAACUGACAAUACAUUUGUGUCCUCCACUGUUUGGCAGUUUAUCGUCUCCCAAACACGGUUAAAGACUUUUUGAAGUAAAGAGGAGCAUCUCAUCUGGACCUGAUGUCUAUCAUGGAUAUCUAACUGCAGUACUGUGAGUAUCCCAACUUUAACAUGAAGAUGAACUGCGAACUGUAAGUCAUUAGUUUCUCAUUACUCUUGGGCACAUUGAUGUAUGUUGGCUUCCUGGUGAGUUAACCCGUUAGCUGAAGGUUGAUCUGAUUAGUAAGGAUCUUUUAUUGGUUCAUGGGUUACUUAGGCGUUUGGUUUAUGUUGGUUUGAAUGGUUUGUUAAAAUGGUUUCAGGUUCAAAGUUAUUGUUGUAAGCUGGAGUAAUGGGUUGGGUUCUGAUGUCUUCAGUCUUCUUUCCAGCUACUCUCCUGAGCUCUGCAUCUUCAUCACAUGAGUGUUGCUGUACUGAGGAGGGUGUGGUCUGAGUGAGCAGAGGUGCAUACUGGGAUACAGAGCUGUCUGAAGUCUACAGGUCUGUAGACACGCCCCUCAGGGGAAACCGAGUGUUUGAGAAACCGUCGUGACGUCAGUUACAUGGACUGGAAUGUUCUUUAAGAUGGAGACAGGGAUUCAGAAGGAGAAACACCAGGGGAGAUGAGGGGCUCCUCAUCUCAACGACUAAAACACAACUUCAGUCUGACACAGAGAACCAUGGAACACUUUCAACAGUCCCCUCCAGGCAUCGUGACUCCUCAGGAACAGUUUCAUUUCAGAGAAGGUCUCAUUUGGGGCCAUUCCAAGAUGGAUCCUGCUCCUCAAGAGCCACCCCCUCCACUGGAUGGUCUUCUGAACAGAUGAUCUCCUUCCUGUCCUCAGGCUGACUAAAGCUGCACCGUUUGCAUCUUUGAAGGCCCCUCAAUCACUAAACCACUGGACUACAAACACAUGACUUCAGAGACGUUGAAACAGCGUGAAUGGAGACACCAAGCAUAAUCCAUCACCAAUGUGGGACGCCACUGAAGAAUGUUGUACAUAAUUUACGUCUCUGGAGAUAUUGGUGGUUCUGUUCUGGGUGCCCUGACAGAAGAGCUGGGGGUGGAUGAUGGAAUGGUAUUUGGCAUGAGGUUUUUACCCUGCAUGAGUGUUUGGUCUUUUAUGGCUCAGUGGUGUGUGUGGGUUUGACAUGAGAUGGAAGAUUUUUGAACAUCGCUAGGGUUCUAGGGUUCUGUGUGUGUGUGUGUGUGUGUGUGUGUCACACCCGGCAUGGGGUUCUACGUGCGAGUCCUGGGUUCUGCGUCCUGCUUGCUUUGACAUUGAUCAUUUUCAUACGGGGGUCUGUGUGAUUGGCUUGGUGUAUUGGAAUGGUCAACUAAAUCAUGCCUGCUGGAAGGCCACACGUUUACUUGAGGCCUCCAGGAGACAUGAAGAGCCCUGAGCGACGCUCCGGAGCGAUAUCCAACACACUGGGCAGGAAGGAGAGUAUCCAAAUCAAGUGUAAAAGGAUGCAAGCGGCGUGUUCAGAUCAGCGACUUCAAACUAGGACUACACCAAUCAGGAUCAAUGGAGGAUGGACACCUAAAGGCAUUCCACAAGGACUCUGAAGUUGGAAAGGAACCUCAAUGGAUGUUCAAGAUGACCUUCAGACCUGUAAUGAGGCGGAUCUUCCUACCUGGCUGGAUUGAUGGAGAGCCCUGUGGAUCUUGUCUUGCUCUCAGUUGCACGUCUUCUCAGGCUGAACUGUAUUUGCUGUACAGGACUAGCUGAACGAUCGGUUCCCUUAAAUCAGAACCAAUCUGGGAACUCCAACUAGUGCGCUCUUCAAGCUGAAGUUGUGCUCUUCAGCUGAGGAGGCAAGGAAACCUUCACUGGGGCUACAAUGUGUAUAGAGGAGAACGUUUGAAGUGUUCAUAGUAUUCUGAUGAAGACCGUUGUUGUGUUUCACUGGCUGAGAGGAAGAACCCUCACAUCUUCCUCUUGGACUUUCUCCUCUGAGAAUCCUGGUGCCAUCUUGAAGGAUAUUCCAGCUCAUGUAACUGAUGUCACGACAGAUUCUCAAACACUUGGUUUCUCCUGAGGGGCGUGUCUAUAGAACUGAAGACUUCAGACAGCACUGUAUCCCAGCACGCAUCUCUGCUCACUCAGACCACACCCUCAUGAGUAGGAUGCAACACUAUAGCGAUGGAGAUGUAGAGUUUUAUAAGUAAAGAUGGAGCAGACAACGGUGAUUCGAACACAAUUGCAAUUUAAGUCUUUAAAUCUUUAAACCAUGAAGAUGGUUGGAUAGUUCAGGAAUUGGGCUUAAUUUUAUUAUGGGCAGUCCUUUCGCUCAAAUGCCCACUUCUCACUGGACCUGUACAUGUGUUGUUUGGCUGGCAUGAUUUGCUGUUGGUAAUGAGGCGGUCAGGGUGACAUUGCUUGGCUAUGGUCGGCUCUCUGUGAGCUCACUGUUUAGAUUUGAUCUGUAUGGUUUGUACCCUGAAUAUCGAUAAUUGUUGUUUUUAAUUUUAAAAUGUAGACAAGGUUUUGUAUUGAAUUAUUCCAUUGUUUUUAAGCAAGGAAUUGAGGUUUAAAGUUGUUGUGGAACGUACAUGGUAGUUCGGUUCUUCGUACGGUUUUGAGUGAUAUAACUUGUACACACUGGGUGCAUAAUAAUGUAAAGGUACACUGAAUAGCAGUAAUGACCAACAGCAACAAACAGAUCACAUCAAGGUAAGUCUGUUGGCUGUGUUUUUAUGAAGACCAUCGCUGGACUUCAGGAUCUUCCUCCGUUCAGCUCAAGGUGAGGCGCUGGUUCUGUUUUUCUUUGGUUGGUUCCGCCGGAAUGUUCGGAUUCCAGUCGGACGGUUUGUGCUUCCCACGCCGUGGAAGGUUCUGAGUGCGCUCACUUGAUUUAGUCUCAAUGGUUAGCAUAAAACGUUGUAGUCUUGACAACCAUAAGAACCCACGUGGCCGUUAGUUGGACGUGAAUCCCCUGAGGGUAUCUGGCGGAAAGUUCUGAAUGUAUUUGCGUAUCUUCGAGCCGUUGCCAACAGAAACUAUUUUUCAGUCGGUUUCCAUUAGGAAUUGUUGCCCCUUAUCUUAAACUACUUAAGUUUGAUAUUGAAUGCACACUGACGCGUACAUCGUACAAUAUGUUGAUAAUUUCCGACUGUUGCGCCGACUUUAACCACGUUGACGGGACUCUCGCUGCGUUCAAAACAGCGUUCUACUUGCGGGCCCAUUUCUGAUCAUCAGUGAAGGCUGAAGAUCAUUUCAAGGUGGAUGACAAUUUGGCAUUUCUUCGACGGAACCCUGCACCUGAAUAUGGCUGAGUAUAUUUGAUUUAAUAUCGAUACUGCUUAGUGUUCUUUGUUACUUCAGCUUUCGUAUGUUCUAAAUAUCUGGUGUCAAUAAUUGCCGUCGAAGUAAAACCGUUAAAGACGUUAAACAACGACUUUGGUACUUAGUUACCAACUGGAUAAUAACAAAGCUAAAAUAAUGUCUUUCCCACAUGUUACAGUAGAAGAAACUCUAGAACUUUCCAAAAAGGUAACAUGUAGUUUGUCCCUAGGUGUCUGCCUCCUCACCCAGAGCCAGACCUCCACCUCCUCACCCAGAGCCAGACCUCCACCUCCUCACCCAGAGCCAGACCUCCACCUCCUCACCCAGAGCCAGACCUCCACCUCCUCACCCAGAGCCAGACCUCCACCUCCUCACCCAGAGCCAGACCUCCACCUCCUCACCCAGAGCCAGACCUCCACCUCCUGUCAGAAGUCCUCCAGAACAGCUGAAAGGCGAGGCUGAGAGGCUGGGGACCGGCUUGUGGUGCCAGGAUGGACCGGAGACUGAGGCUGGAGACCAGGGGCCUGCAGCACCGGACCAGAGGGUAACCAUCACCAAGCUCAUCUGAAACACUAAAAUCCUCAGUAGUUUAGGUCUGGUUUUGAUCAUCUUAAGACUUUAAAUCUGUGCCACGCUGUGAUUUGAGUUAAUUCAUACCGGGGUUAUGUAGAAGUCAUAUGAGCCAUUAUUGUUAGAGUGCUGCUACGACCGUAGUGGAUGAAUUGCUGAAUGGGUCAAUCUGUAGACGUUGUCUAAUUCAAGUGUUUAAAUAUGUUUAAAUUCGUCUUCCAUUUUACAAGUGAACCUCAGAUGCAGGAGGUGGGGUGUGUUGCCAUUCCAGGUGAUUUACUGCUGAGACCAACUGUUUGUAACCAGACCAGGAAUCCAUGGCUGAAGGAGCUCAUGGAGGAGCCGUGCUGAAGGCCCUGCCUGUUGGAGGAGCUGAUGGAGGCCCUGCCUGAUGGAGGAGCUGAUGGAGGCCCUGCCUGAUGGAGGAGCUGAUGGAGGCCCUGCCUGGUGGAGGAGCCGAUGGAGGCCCUGCCUGGUGGAGGAGCCGAUGGAGGGCCUGCCUGGUGGAGGAACCGAUGGAGGCCCUGCCUGGUGGAGGAACCGAUGGAGGCCCUGCCUGGUGGAGGAGCUGAUGGAGGCCCUGCCUGGUGGAGGAUUUCUGUCGUUGGACCAUGAAUCUGUCUGAAGAGAGCUGGUGGGGGAGCUGAGAAGCUGUAAGACGAUUAGGAAUUGACAACAAGGAUUCCUCACCAGGACUCUGGCUGAGGAGUGCUGAUAGAGGAGCCAAGACUCUGGAGGACGACAUCACUCUAUCAACAAGGAUCCAAACCAGGAAUCUGGAGGACUGACGGAGAAGCCAUACCUCUGGAAGGCAAAUCCUGAGGACGACCAGGACUCUACCAUCAAGGAUUCCUCACACACCUGAGCUGAACCUCACCUGAUCCUGUUUGGUCGGGGUCAGACUCAUCUGAGCUGAACCCCACCUGAUCCUGCUGGUCCCGUCUCCUCAGUUCAUCUUAGCCUCGUCUUCCAGAAGACCUGCUGAACUCAGCAGUCUGAUCCUGAUGGAUCAAUGACCUCCAGUGGGAGUGAUCUUCUUGACCACACAAGUACCCGUGUGCUUCCACACGUCUUACCCUCACGUCUGUCACUAACCUCACUACUUCACUAAUCUCUACUCCUUACCUUCUUCUUCCUUCUCCGUGGUUCGAACCUUUACUCUGAAGGAGUGUCUUCUUGAACCUUUACACUGAAGGACCGUCUUCCUGCCCUCAGAGGGUUUAGAGUCAGGG
ensembl:lncRNA